GAACCCGCCAAGGGCAUAAACCUGAAAGUAGAUGAAGUGCUUUCAUUGAGAAAGAAACUAUGAGAAGAACGUUAAUAAGAAACUCUCAAAUAAAAGAUCAUGACGAUGUAUCUGUGGUCUGAUAACCGAGUUCACAUACCACAGUAGAGGCGAAUAAAGAAAACAUAAAACAAUUUAGAAUUGGCAACUGAGAGAGAAUACCACAGAGACAACAAUUCAGCAGAAAAACAACAGACCGGUUACAAGGGACAGGAACAAUUGAAAUAAGAAAAAGAAAUUUUCUAGUUUCUUACCACAAGGAGAAUCAAGCGAGGGAAGAGUGGUGUCAGCUAAAAGGAAAUUGUAAGCUUACGCAUAUUCCAUAUAUUUACAUAUCUUUACAAUACAUAUGCAUGUCCACAUACAGGGUUGGGAAAAGAAAAUUUGUCACAAGGACAAAAGAAAUCAUAUGUUAAAAAUAUAAGAUUAAGAAAGGACAAAGAAUGAAAAGACAAAAUAACAUUAAUAAGCUGCAGAACAUGAACAAUGAUGUGCUUGACAAGAAGGUGGAAUAUGAACUUGAGAACCCCAAAAAAUUUAUAAUAUAUUUGUGAACACUAGCUUAGAUUUUGGUGUUGUUUUACAAACCACAUAAAUCCAGUUAAACGUGUUCAGCAAGGGUCUUGAGAUUUAAAAAUUUAAGUUGUUUUUGUAUUAAUGGCCAUAAAUUGUGAACCAUCUUUACACCAGUAAUUUCAAACAUCCCAUCACCAUAUGGAUUAAGUUAA
rnacentral:misc_RNA from 1 species